UACGAAGGGGGCUAGCGUUGCUCGGAAUUACUGGGCGUAAAGGGCGUGUAGGCGGAUAGUUUAGUCAGAGGUGAAAGCCCAGGGCUCAACCUUGGAAUUGCCUUUGAUACUGGCUAUCUUGAGUUCGGGAGAGGUGAGUGGAAUGCCGAGUGUAGAGGUGAAAUUCGUAGAUAUUCGGCGGAACACCAGUGGCGAAGGCGACUCACUGGCCCGAUACUGACGCUGAGGCGCGAAAGCGUGGGGAGCGAACAGG
rnacentral:rRNA from 1 species